rnacentral:rRNA from 1 species
UACGUAGGGUGCGAGCGUUGUCCGGAAUUAUUGGGCGUAAAGAGCUCGUAGGCGGCCUGUCGCGUCGGGAGUGAAAACCCAGGGCUUAACUCUGGGCUUGCUUUCGAUACGGGCAGACUAGAGGUAUGCAGGGGAGAACGGAAUUCCUGGUGUAGCGGUGAAAUGCGCAGAUAUCAGGAGGAACACCGGUGGCGAAGGCGGGUCUCUGGGCCGAUACUGACGCUGAGGAGCGAAAGCGUGGGGAGCGAACAGG